AGGAUUAACGCUGGCGGCGUGCCUAACACAUGCAAGUCGAACGAGGUAGCAAUACCUAGUGGCAGACGGGUGAGUAACACGUGGUCAACCUACCUUCGAGUGGGGGAUAACUAGCCGAAAGGUUAGCUAAUACCGCAUGAAACGUACUGGGGCAUCCCGGAACGUUAAAAGGAGCAAUCCGCUUGAAGACGGGACCGCGUCCGAUUAGCUAGUUGGUGGGGUAAUGGCCUACCAAGGCUCCGAUCGGUAGCUGGUUUGAGAGAGCGACCAGCCACACUGGGACUGAGAAACGGCCCAGACUCCUACGGGAGGCAGCAGUGAGGAUUUCCGCAAUGGGCGAAAGCCUGACGGAGCGACGCCGCGUGUGGGAAGAAGGCCUUCGGGUCGUAAACCACUGUCGAAGGGACUAUACUGAAGGUACCCUUGGAGGAAGCCCGGCUAACUACGCGCCAGCAGCCGC
rnacentral:rRNA from 1 species